ACCACACUGGACAAACGACGCGACUGCGGGUGGGAAGUGUGCCCACGUCGUUUCCAGCUUUUCCGCCUCAUCUGCAGAAACCUGUCAAACAGAAGCGUCCCGACCCCAAGUCUCGAGAUUUCCCGGCCCCGCUUGGUCCUGAGUGUUCUGGGUUGUGCGACCUGCCUGGAGCUGAAUAUUUUCCUGAAGACUCGCCAACCAAACAGUUCUACAAAGACAAGGUCCUUUCCUCACAAGAAGAGAUAACCCAGUUGAAGAAGAAGGUCAAAACACUGCAGCAAA